AUAUGGAAUUCUAGGAAAUCUAGUGAACAGAGUCCAAGGAGGUGCUGAGUGAUGUUCUGGACCAGUGUGCACGAUGUCGGUAACUUGUGAAUGACUGUUUCUGCCUCUAGUCCUUCCAAGGGACGAUUUGGGGAGGUACUUUCUUUGUUGCUCAGGAGGUCCUGUGAAAUUAAGACUUUAUUGUUCACAAUGACAGUAUCAAUAGCAUAUAUAUGUAUUUAUUUCCCCUUCCUCAUUCUUCCUGGUGAUUCACUUCUCUUCACUGGAAUUGGCAACUAAAUAAACUACUUUAGAGAAGUAGUUAUUUUAGGCACUGAUUUGGGGGGAACUCUAAAUAGUGAUCUGGCAUAAGGAAUAGCUUUAGAAAGAAGACAUGUAGGGUAAUAUUCUGGAGCACUCUCUUAUCAAAGAGCAACAAGGACCAAUUGCUGGUAGUAAAUGAGUAAUUCCUGAUGUUAAUCUGUAGCGCAGUGAAACAUCACAAUAAAAAAGGCUCAUCUGAGGUAGGUUGGGAAGUGGUACAUGUGCAAGAUAAGGUAGUUGCUCAAGCACCUGAAGACUGUGAGGGUAUUGAUGACUUAAGUGAUCGCAGCACUGGCUGUGGAAAUUCCCAAAAACAAAAACAACUAGCUCAGUUCAGCUAUCUGUCUGCUUGGAGUGAGGCAUAAAAGCCAGAGGUCCUUCAUGGCAGCAUUUAAAGAGAUUCUUCUCUUGUAAGGUCACAAGGAAGAUUUUCGAGUAUGUUGAAAGUCAGUCUUAUAUGAUAGAGCUAAAUAAAAUGGGACUGAGUGCACAGGUGUGAUAAGUUUCUACUGAAAAACAAGAACCCUGAUUAAAAAAAAAGACCUGGGAUGGGAACAUUUGGAUGGAUAAAAACUUGAAAUUCUAGAGUCUUCUGAGUUCUGGGCCAGCAGCAGCCACUUCUUCUCUGGGUCAGAGGGUGAAGCAAAGCAGCUUUUCUUUCCUUGGAGCACUUUCAAAGACUUAGCCUGAGGAAGAAGCCUUGAAAGAUGAUGCUUUUUCUCCUCAAGAUCCACCCUCACCUUAUCUCAUAACCUCAGACCAGUGGGUAAAAUAAGAGGGAAGGUAUUGAUCCCUGAUAAAUGUCUUGCAUUCGAGCAUAGUCUCCAUAUAUGCCUCCAGAAACCCCAACCUGUGACAGACACUGUUUGUUUUAAAUUAAUCGACACACCUCUGGCUUCUCAGAGCCUCAAAAAUAGAGAUGCUGAGGCUUCUCUCCGGAUGUCUGAGGGACUCCACCUGAGCCAGGUGAGGCAGUCAAGGCCUGAUGGGGCAGGUUGAAGCCCAACGUGGAGGUAAGGGCUGCAGGAUGGUUCGUGGGGAGGCUUGUGGCCCUGGCUCUGAUGACUGCAGAAAUGUUCUGUUAAGAGGCAGCUCCUGUCUUCCUAACCAGCCCCAUGCCCAGGAUCAGACCCUUGGGGAUUAAAGGACCACAGGGUGUUAUUACAGCCUGGUGUUGGAGCAUGGGACUUUUCUUGAGAAAAGAAGAUAGAGCAUUGUGGUUAAAUGUAUGGACACUGAACUCAAGCAGUUCUGUGUUUUCAAUAGCUUUAUUGAGACAUAUUUACAUACAAUAAGUUGCCACUUAAACUGUUUAACUAGAUGCACAAUAGUGAAACUGUCACCACAAUUUCAAUAUCCAUCAUCCCUAAAGUUUCUGCUUGUCCAUUUGUGAUUCCUUCCUCUUACCCUUCCUGGCCCCAUCCCCUGUUUCCAGGCAACAACUGUUUUCUACUUUGUUGUGAUAGUUUUCUAUUUUCUAUAGCUUUAUACAGUUGGAAUUAUUCAAUAUGUAUUCUUUUUUUCCCUCUGGCUUCUUUCACUCAGCAUAAUUAGUUUGAGUCAUUUAUGUCAUCGUGUUUGUAUGUCAAUUAUUCAUUUCUUUGCAUUGUUGAGUAAAAUCUCAUUGUAUGGAUUUACCAGUUUAUCUAGUCACAUCAAAGGAUAUUAAAGUUGUUUCCAGUUUU